AGUGAACGCUGGCGGUAGGCCUAACACAUGCAAGUCGAACGGCAGCACAGUAAGAGCUUGCUCUUACGGGUGGCGAGUGGCGGACGGGUGAGGAAUACAUCGGAAUCUACUUUUUCGUGGGGGAUAACGUAGGGAAACUUACGCUAAUACCGCAUACGACCUACGGGUGAAAGCAGGGGAUCUUCGGACCUUGCGCGAUUGAAUGAGCCGAUGUCGGAUUAGCUAGUUGGCGGGGUAAAGGCCCACCAAGGCGACGAUCCGUAGCUGGUCUGAGAGGAUGAUCGGCCACACUGGAACUGAGACACGGUCCAGACUAGUAAGGGAGGCAGCAGUAGGGAAUCUUCCGAAAUGGGCGAAAGCCGGACGGAGCAAUGACGUGUGAGUGAUGAAGGUCUUAGGAUCGAAAAACUCUGUUAUUAGGGAAGAACAUAUGUGUAAGUAACUGUGAACAUCUUGACGGAACCUAAUCAGAAAGCCAGGGCUAACGACGGG
rnacentral:rRNA from 1 species